CCUACGGGAGGCAGCAGUGGGGAAUAUUGGACAAUGGGGGGAACCCUGAUCCAGCGACGCCGCGUGAGUGAUGAAGUAUUUCGGUAUGUAAAGCUCUAUCAGCAGGGAAGAAAAUGACGGUACCUGACUAAGAAGCCCCGGCUAACUACGUGCCAGCAGCCGCGGUAAUACGUAGGGGGCAAGCGUUAUCCGGAUUUACUGGGUGUAAAGGGAGCGUAGACGGUGCAGCAAGUCUGAUGUGAAAGGUCGGGGCCCAACCCCGGGACUGCAUUGGAAACUGUAUGGCUGGAGUGCAGGAGAGGUAAGUGGAAUUCCUGGUGUAGCGGUGAAAUGCGUAGAUAUUAGGAGGAACACCAGUGGCGAAGGCAGCUUACUGGACUGUAACUGACGUUGAGGCUCGAAAGCGUGGGGAGCAAACAGGAUUAGAUACCCCAGUAGUC
rnacentral:rRNA from 1 species